UUCCUGGUAGCUCAGACAGUAAAGCAUCUGCCUACAAUGCAGGAGACCCAGGUUCAGUCCUGGUUUGGGAA
rnacentral:tRNA from 1 species